GCUCGGCUAGUUUAGUCGGUAAAGCUUGAGACUCUUAAUCUCAAGGUCGUGGGCUCGAGCCCCACGUUGAGUG
rfam:Danio rerio chromosome 4, GRCz11 reference primary assembly.